rnacentral:rRNA from 1 species
AGAAAGAAAGGGCAGACGGUGGAUGCCUAGGCUCUUGGAGGCGAAGAAGGACGUGAUAAGCUGCGAUAAGCAGGGGCGAGGUGCAAAUAACCAUUUGAACCCCUGAUUUCCGAAUGGGGCAACCCGGUGCACGUAAGUGCAUCAUCUCUGUAAAGAGAGGUAAACGUGGGGAACUGAAACAUCUAAGUACCCACAGGAGGAGAAAACAAAAGUGAUUCCGCAAGUAGUGGCGAGCGAACGCGGAACAGCCCAAACCGGCUUUGUUUAGGCAAAGUCGGGGUUGUAGGACCACGUUGUAGCAAGAAAUCGGUAAAGUGGAAUCAGCUGGAAAGUUGAAUCAGAGAAGGUGACAAUCCCGUACACGACUUAUCGACGAAGCUUAGUGGUAUCCUGAGUAGCGCGGGACACGAGAAAUCCUGUGUGAAUCAGCGGGGCCCAUCCCGCAAGGCUAAAUACUCCCAAGAGACCGAUAGCGAACCAGUACCGUGAGGGAAAGGUGAAAAGAACCUCGAAUAGAGGAGUGAAAUAGACCCUGAACCCGUCUGCCUACAAGCGGUCGGAGCACUUUCAUAGUGUGACGGCGUGCCUUUUGCAUAAUGAACCUACGAGUUACUUUUGUUGGCAAGGUUAAGUGGCUAAGUCACGGAGCCGAAGCGAAAGCGAGUCUGAAUAGGGCGUUUUAGUCAGCAGGAGUAGACGCGAAACCGAGUGAUCUACCCUUGAGCAGGUUGAAGGUUGGGUAAAGCCAACUGGAGGACCGAACCGGUAAAUGUUGAAAAAUUUUCGGAUGACUUGAGGGUAGGGGUGAAAGGCUAAUCAAACUCGGAGAUAGCUCGUACUCCCCGAAAUGCAUUUAGGUGCAGCCUUGAUAGAUGUUUGUAUGAGGUAGAGCGACUGAUUGGAUGCGAGGGCUUCGCCGCCUGUCAAGUCCGGACAAACUCCGAAUGCGUACAAAUUAUAUCAGGAGUGAGGGCGCGGGUGCUAAGGUCCGUGUCCGAGAGGAGAAGAAUCCGUACCAUCGGCUAAGGUCCCCAAAUAUAUGUUAAGUUGAUCUAACGAAGUCUGGUUACAUGGACAGCUAGGAUGUUGGCUUGGAAGCAGCCAUUCAUUUAAAGAGUGCGUAACAGCUCACUAGUCGAGUGACCGGGCAUGGAUAAUAAUCGGGCAUAAACAUAUUACCGAAGCUGUGGAAUUGUACUGAGGUACAAUUGGUAGGGGAGCAUUCUAAACUGCGUAGAAGGCCGGGGAUGACCCCGACUGGAGUGUUUAGAAAAGCAAAUGUAGGUAUAAGUAACGAUAAUGAGGGCGAGAAACCCUCACGCCGAAAGACCAAGGAUUCCUGAUCAACGUUAAUCGGAUCAGGGUAAGUCGGGCCCUAAGGAUAAGCCGAAUGGCGAAGCCGAUGGAAGAACCGGUUAAUAUUCCGGUACUGAUUGUAAGAGAGAAGUGGGGACGGAGAAGUGAAACUCCUGCCGGCUGACGGAAUAGCCGGUUAAAGGGUGUAGAUGCAGAGGAUAGUAGGCAAAUCCGCUAUCCGAGUCGAACCUGAAAGUAUCGCGAGUGCAUGCACGAGUGAAUAUGGAGGUAAACAUGCUCCCAAGAAAAACCGCUAUCGUUAAUUUUACAUUCACCCGUACUGUAAACCGACACAGGUGGUUGAGUAGAAUAUACUAAGGCGCUCGAGAGAAUCAUGGUUAAGGAAUUAGGCAAAAUGGCCCUGUAACUUCGGGAUAAAGGGCGCCUGCCGAAUAGGCAGGCCGCAGAGAAUAGGAGAAGGCGACUGUUUAACAAAAACACAUGGCUGUGCAAAAUUUAAAGAUGAAGUAUACAGCCUGACACCUGCCCGGUGCCGGAAGGUUAAGAGGAGAGCUUAUCAGCAAUGAGAAGGUUUGAAUUGAAGCCCCGGUAAACGGCGGCCGUAACUAUAACGGUCCUAAGGUAGCGAAAUUCCUUGUCGGGUAAGUUCCGACCUGCACGAAUGGUGUAACGAUCUUCUCACUGUCUCAACCAUGAGCUCGGUGAAAUUGUAGUAUCGGUGAAGAUGCCGAUUACCCGCAACGGGACGAAAAGACCCCGUGAACCUUUACUAUAGCUUUACAUUGGACUUGGGCAAUUGAUGUGUAGGAUAGGCCGGAGGCUACGAAGCAGGCGCGCUAGCGCAGGUGGAGCCACCGUUGAAAUACGGCCCUUUGAUUGUUUGAGUCCUAACCCGUAGAAAUGGGGACACUGUAUGGUGGGUAGUUUGACUGGGGUGGUCGCCUCCAAAAGAGUAACGGAGGCUUCUAAAGGUGCGCUCAGUCCGAUCGGUAACCGGACGUAGAGUGUAAUGGCAUAAGCGCGCUUGACCGGGAGACAUACAAGUCGAUCGGGUAGGAAACUAGAGCAUAGUGAUCCGGUGGUUCCGCAUGGAAGGGCCAUCGCUCAAAGGAUAAAAGGUACUCCGGGGAUAACAGGCUGAUCAUUCCCAAGAGCUCAUAUCGACGGAAUGGUUUGGCACCUCGAUGUCGGCUCGUCACAUCCCGGGGCUGGAGAAGGUCCCAAGGGUUGGGCUGUUCGCCCAUUAAAGUGGCACGCGAGCUGGGUUCAGAACGUCGUGAGACAGUUCGGUCUCUAUCUGUUGUGGGCGUAGGAAAUUUGCGGGGAACUGACACUAGUACGAGAGGACCGUGUUGGACAAACCUCUGGUGUACCGGUUGUUCCGCCAGGAGCAUGGCCGGGUAGCUAAGUUUGGGAAGGAUAAGCGCUGAAAGCAUCUAAGUGCGAAGCCGGCCUCAAGAUAAGAUUUCCAAAUUAAGGUCGUUGAAGACUACGACGUCGAUAGGCUGCAGGUGUAAAGGUGGUAACAUCAUAGCCGAGCAGUACUAAUCACCUGAAUACUUGUCU